UUUAAGUGCAACCAUAAGUUUUCACGCCUAACUUUUGAUUAUCUAUCUUAUUUAAUUUUUUUUUAUAAUUAGUAUUUUUGUUGUUAUGAGAUGAUAAAACAUGAAUAUACUUUAUUCGUGACUUAUGUUUUUAUUUUUUUCAAAAAAAUUUUAAAUAAGACGGACGGUUAAAGUUGGGCGCGGAAAAUCAUGGUUGCACUUAAA
rfam:Oryza meridionalis cultivar OR44 (W2112) chromosome 9, whole genome shotgun sequence.